rnacentral:lncRNA from 1 species
UUCCCAUAUUUACUUAGAAUUUAUUAAACACCUUUUUUAAAUAGAAAAGGACAAUUCAGGAAGAACAGAAAUGCAUAACACAGAAUAAGUGAAACUGCAGCAGCAGCUUAUUACAACCACUACAAAAGGGAUGUGCAGCUGACUGCUGCAUGUGAUGGAGUACCCAAAUACUAGCUGGUGCUGCUUCUUUUCCACAUUUGAAUGAUUUAUAGCAGAAACUCCAGAAAUACUCUCCUGCAGCUUGACAUCUGCUUAAUUGAACAGGAAAGCAUUGCACUGAGCUAGCAAGUUGAACACAGGAUGAUAGGCACUCAUAGGUAACGUGCACAAAGCAAUCUGGAAAUCGUGGCUAUUGGCUGCCAUUCUCUGUUGCUAAGUACAGUACAGCAUAGCUGUUAUGGAGCUAACUGGUGCAGGGCUUCCUCAACCAAGUAAUGUCCAGGUUGGUCUUGUACAAGAAACAGCACUUAUGCUUUGUCAUUUCCCUGCUGUGACGUCUCUGAUGUCCAUGACUGGGUGCGGAAGCUGGUAUUUGGCAAGCUGCACUACAAAAGAAACCUGCUAAUUCUGAAAAGUGGUGUUUUGGGCUCAGCUGUCACUCCUGGAUGAAAUACGUUCUACCUUGCAGAGUAGACUAAUAAGACUGCCCGUGCAAUGUGUAAGGUUUUCUUUUGUCCUUUAUAAAACUGAAAGGACUGAAAUAAUAGUUCAGGAGAAGAUUUUGAUAUCCUCGUUCCAGCGUGCCUUGGCAGUCCCCACACUGUGAAUAGUUUCUCCAGCUCCAGUGGAAUGCCUCUUGGAUGGAAGAUAGCCCUCACAGUGAAUUCAGCUGCUCUCCUGCUGCAGGAAUGUGCGGGCACACUGUUACACAUUAUAGAGGGAAAAUUACACAAACCUGUCCAAUGACAAGUGUAUAGCGUCGACAAUGUAUCCAAGAAAAGCUAUUGUGUGCAUUAAAGAAUGUGUCUUUUUGGCACUUGCUGAAAUAAGAAGAGGCAAGACUGUGCAGUCUGAGCUCUUCUUAAACCUUUACACGAUGAGGCAGAGCAAGUUUCUGAGCACUUCUGCAGCACUUCCCUGUACCAGUCCCCUUCCCUGCUCCCCUCGCCGACAAUUCUGUAGAGCGUUCGCUCCAGUUCAGCGGCUGCUGACAAAUGCUGCACCUUUCUGCUCCAGCCCCUUGUUGCUUACACACGGGAAUCAAACAAUCAGAAGAACCUCAAGCUUAUUUUCAUCUAAGUAACUUGUUUAUUUCUAAACCUACAAAGCAAAUGCACUCUUUGCUCUGCAAUUUAAUGUCUGCCUCUUUUUCCGCCAAGGUUGAUUUGGUAUUUCCUUUACAAACCUCAAUUGUUGGCAUUAAGAACUUGGCCAUUUCAACUCUACUGGACUAAAACUUGGCAACCAAAUUGUGAGCUAGCAGCUAAAUUGUUUCACUAAAAUUUCUUUCAUUUUUAUCAUUAAUCUGUGGCCAAUCUUUAUCUCUGCAGUUCCCACCACACUUCUAAGUCCCCCGAAGGUGAAUCGCUGGAAGUAACUUGGAAGUGCAGCUGACCGCCCGUACAAACACUUAAAUAAGAGACCCAGAACCCGAGCUCCAUAACAAAAUGCAGUUUCACUCUGUUUUUCUGCCUGCAGGCAGCCUUUCUUACACUUCUGCAUAUCAAGGAAGUGUCCCAGGAGAAGCCACAAGAUAGAGUCCUUAACAAAGCAGGAAGAGCAGAAAACCACAAAGGCACAUAGCAAGUCACUAUUAGGUCAAGGCCUGUGCUCACCAAUCCUGUGCAGAACUGGAGACGCAGUGAGCAUUCCAUAGCAGCCAGUGGUCAGAGGGCCGGCAAGGAUGGGAGUGGAGGAAUGGCUGUGGAAGAUGAGAGUGAAUAACCCAUGCCGUGUGGAUGCUGGCAGCCCUGAAACCAUUAGGAACAGGGCUCAGCAGCCUGCUCCCUGGUGCUGUGCCAUCAGAAGAGAUUUUGGUCUGCUGUUCAUCUCAAGAAGUGAAAUGACAGCAGAACUGCCGAUGUGAUGCAAGAUGCGAUUGGGAUAUACGAUUUUUUUUUCCAGGAGAAAUGCUUGAUUCUGCCAGGAUCUGGUGCAGGGAAUAUUUUGCAAUGAUGUGGACUCAAAUCUAGGCAACCGCUGAGCAGAUCUAAAUGGCCAAGUGAAGGAGAAUCCAGUGUUCUUUCACUGUCAUGGGUCAGAAAAGCAGACCAUCUUCAACACGCAUUCAGCCCUUCAACUGCCUCACGUCCUUCAGUUCAUGGCACAGCCUGAGGCUGAGUGGGGAUCACCAGGUCAGCUCAGGCCUUUAACAGAGACCUCUCUUUGACUCAGGCAAGCCUAGCUUCUAAAAUCAGGAAUUUUAAAAACUAUUGGCAAAAAUCAUCUGAUUUGAGCUUGCUAUGUUAAAUCACAUCUAAGGAAUAUUUAGGCUUGGUGAAGUGUGUUUAACUUCUUCAUAUGUGAAUGCUGAAUCCAAAAUACACUAAUUUCUAAGAACCACAGUAAUUAAACUGCCUUGCCAAUAGUAUGGCAAGGAUCAUUUGGUUAAGCCACCAUCUAGCAUAGACAUUGAAAGCCCUAAGAUGUAUGUGGAAAGAUAAAUAUCUAUGCUUAGCUUUAUCUUUAAGAUGUUUUGAUAGUGACUAUUCUGUGACACAAUAUUCAUAACUUGUGGACACAUUGUGAAGCAGUUUUCCAAUAUCAAGUCCAUCACUGCAUUUCUGGGAGGAUGCAACUGUUUCCUUUUUAAAGCCACCAAAGAAACCAUCAGAAGAAAAGAUUUGUGCUCAUCUUUCAUUAACCUGACAUACAAAAGUAAGUUUGAUUUUAGGAAGAAUUUUGCCCACAAAGCAUCUCGUCAUAUAAAUACUUAGUACCAGGUUUUCUCUCUUUCUCCCAAGUCCAGGGACCCUUGCUCCUUGAUCAAAGACAGCAGCAUGAGCAAGCCAUGAAUCAGAUUGACAUCAUAAUCCCUAUUUUUCUGCACAAUGAAUUCAAGGUAAAACACAAUUUUCCUUCCAAUCCUAUUCUUCUGUAACAUUAGUAUGGACAUAACUCUAAGAAGCAAUUUGUAACCUAAUGGACAGUGUACCUAAGCCCACUUCAGUGCUGGUGAAAGCCAGCCCCCACAGGAGGGUGACACCAGGUGUGGUGUGCACCGAGUAGGCACUCACUCAGCCCUCUUCCCAUGCAAGCAUGUCCCGGUGGCAUCCCCACUGCACGGGGAGCUCCUUUGAUGUGGACAGUACUGUGUCAGCCAGUGCUGCUGAAGGGGAAGACAAUCAAUGAGCAUGGCCAAGCAUGUUUGUCCAGAGUAAGCUGGUAACUAAAAUUUGAUCCAAGCAAAAAGAAAACAAACAAACAAAACAACAACAACAAACAAGAAAGAACAAGAAAAAUAAACAAAGCACUUGUUGGGAGAGAAUCCUGGGAAUCAGUUGGGAGUGCUCAAAAAGGCACAGUAAAGGGUAAUAGUAUUAAGUUCUCUUCCUUAUAAAGCUUUGGGUGACAAGUGCCCACCCUUCCCAUCUCUGCCUGCUGCCCCACACUGAGGCCGUGCAGUCUGUGGGAGCUUUACUUGCUGUGUGGGAGCGCAGAAGUCAAAAGGAAGGCUUCCAGAUGUGGUCAGUCAUGAGAUUCCCAGGAGCUGGUGCAGAGCCUGCUGACUGCUGGCACGUUACUGACACAGGUAAUUGCAGCUUUUAAAGGAAGGCCUCUUCUGUAACUGCAAAUUUUGGAGCGGAAGGAGAUAUCCAGAGGCCUGUGGUUUGAAUUCUGGAUAACACCUCCACUUUUGGUCUGCAAGCAGUGAAAGGCCACUGGGGCUAAUGGUGCUCCUUACAUUCUCCCUUAAUGGCAUGGGAAAAAACGUUCUAAGCUUCAUGUGCCAAGAUGGAUGACAUUAAUUUUCUGAUCCCAACUGCAGCAGAUUCCCUUGGGAGAGUGGCACAGCAUCUGACUCAUCUCUGGUGGGGAGUGCUGCUAAGUGACCACAAGUUAAAUAAACUCAAAUUCCACAGUCAUGACCGAGGGGUAAUGAAGAAAGUUCCCUGCAAGUAGUUCCUGCAGGUGUUCGACAUCUGGAUCUCUCUCAGCUCCCAGGACCUGCUCAAAACAGAGUAAAUUAUUGUGUUUGGGGAUAAAAUAAGAAAUCCAAAGAUCUUUAUGAUGAACAAACAUUGU